AUCGCUUCUCUGCCUUUUGGCUAAGAUCAAGUGUAGUAUCUGUUUCCUCCAGGUCUCGCCAUGAGGUAGAGGGGUGUAGAACCGAGGUACUUUUGUGCCUCGGGGAGUGGUGACCCUGAGGUGCCGAAACUCACUGGGUGUUAACUCACUGAGUGAACACACUGCACCAUACUCUUCACCUUUGGCACUCACCCUUU